CUACGGGUUGCUCCAGUGGGGAAUAUUGGACAAUGGGGGAAACCCUGAUCCAGCAAUGCCGCGUGUGUGAAGAAGGCCUGCGGGUUGUAAAGCACUUUCGGUUGGGAGGACUGCUUCUAGCACUAAUAUUGUUGGAAGUUGACGUUACCUUCAGAAGAAGCACCGGCUAACUCCGUGCCAGCAGCCGCGGUCAUACGGAGGGUGCAAGCGUUAAUCGGAAUUACUGGGCGUAAAGCGCGCGUAGGCGGCUAGAUCAGUCGGGUGUGAAAGCCCCGGGCUUAACCGGGGAACUGCGUCCGAUACUGUCUAGCUUGAGUACAGGAGAGGAGAGUGGAAUUCCACAUGUAGCGGUGAAAUGCGUAGAUAUGUGGAGGAACACCAAUGGCGAAGGCAGCUCUCUGGCCUGAUACUGACGCUGAGGUGCGAAAGCGUGGGGAGCAAACAGGAUUAGAUACCCUAGUAGUC
rnacentral:rRNA from 1 species